rnacentral:rRNA from 1 species
GACGAACGCUGGCGGCGUGCCUAAUACAUGCAAGUAGGACGCAGUUGCGAACGGGUGCUUAACGCGUAGGUAACUGCCUAUUAGAGGGGGAUAACUAUUGGAAACGAUAGCUAAUACCGCAUACUAGUAGAUGGACCUGCGUUGUAUUAGCUAGUAUGUAGGGUAAUGGCCUACCUAGGCGACGAUACCUAGCCGACCUGAGGGGGUGAUCGGCCACACUGGGAAGGAGCAACGGCCCAGACUUCUGCGGGAGGCAGCAGUAGGGAAUCUUCGGCAAUGGGGGGAACCCUGACAGAGCAACGCCGCGUGAGUGAAGAAGGUUUUCGGAUCGGAAAGCGCUGUUGUUAAGGAAGCGGUACUUAACCAGAAAGCGACGGCUAACUACGGGCCAGCAGCCGCGGUAAUAC